UCUAUGGCAUAAAAAACAUAUAAAUCCAAAUUACUAUAAGUAAGUUAUGAAGGUUUGAAAAAUAACAAAUAAAUAAAUUUAAAAAUUCAGUAAAUAAUUUGUACAUCAAGGAUAACUUGCUUAAGACAUCAAGAGUUUGAGCCUCACCAAGCCUCAAAAGUAAUGUAAAUACCUAUUCUAAGAGAGGCCACAAGGCCUAAGUCUUAUCCUCUUAACUACCUUCAACAUGCUACAACCCAUAUGGGACUUGUGCACCUCCUUCUUAUAAAGACUAUAUUAGUUGCUGGUCCUCCUAUUUCCUACUAGUAAAAUCCAUAAUUUUACUU
rnacentral:lncRNA from 1 species